rnacentral:rRNA from 1 species
UACGUAGGGUGCAAGCGUUAAUCGGAAUUACUGGGCGUAAAGCGUGCGCAGGCGGUUUUGUAAGUCUGUCGUGAAAUCCCCGGGCUCAACCUGGGAACUGCAUUUGUGACUGCAUGGCUGGAGUGCGGCAGAGGGGGAUGGAAUUCCGCGUGUAGCAGUGAAAUGCGUAGAUAUGCGGAGGAACACCGAUGGCGAAGGCAAUCCCCUGGACCUGUACUGACGCUCAUGCACGAAGCGGUGGGAGCAAACAGG